rnacentral:rRNA from 1 species
AUUGAACGCUGGCGGCAUGCCUUACACAUGCAAAUCGAACGGAAAGGGGCCAUCGGGUGUCGUCGAGUGUCGGAGGCGUGCGGAAUACAUCGGAGUGUGCCCGCUCCUGGUGAAUAAGGAAGCAAUAGGUUAAAUCAUACCUCAUACGGGCUAAGAUUUUAAGCAGGAGGCUCCAAAGCUGAACGACGGCGUUGCGGCCACUGGCAGAUGGAUCCGCGCUGCAUAAGAUAGUUGGUCAGGUACACGCUUACCAAGUCAACGAUGCAUAGCUGACCUGAGAGGGUGAUCAGCCACACUGGAACUGAGACACGGCCCAGACUCCUACGGGAGGCAGCAGUAGGGAAUUUUGGACAAUGGGCGAAAGCCUGACGCAGCCACGCCGCGUGCGUGAUGAAGGUCUUCGGAUCGUAAACUUCUUUUGUACGGGAAGAAAAUCUGUGUUAUUAUAUAGGCGGAUCAUGACGGUACCGAAAGAAAAAGCCCCGGCUAACUACGUG